GACGAACGCUGGCGGCGUGCCUAAUACAUGCAAGUAGAACGCUGAAGAGAGGAGCUUGCUCUUCUUGGAUGAGUUGCGAACGGGUGAGUAACGCGUAGGUAACCUGCCUUGUAGCGGGGGAUAACUAUUGGAAACGAUAGCUAAUACCGCAUAACAAUGGAUGACCCAUGUCAUUUAUUUGAAAGGGGCAAAUGCUCCACUACAAGAUGGACCUGCGUUGUAUUAGCUAGUGGGUGAGGUAACGGCUCACCUAGGCGACGAUACAUAGCCGACCUGAGAGGGUGAUCGGCCACACUGGGACUGAGACACGGCCCAGACUCCUACGGGAGGCAGCAGUAGGGAAUCUUCGGCAAUGGGGGCAACCCUGACCGAGCAACGCCGCGUGAGUGAAGAAGGGUUUCGGAUCGUAAAGCUCUGUUGUAAGUCAAGAACGAGUGUGAGAGUGGAAAGUUCACACUGUGACGGUAGCUUACCAGAAAGGGACGGCUAACUACGUG
rnacentral:rRNA from 1 species